GAUGAAGAACGCAGCGAAAUGCGAUAAGUAGUGUGAAUUGCAGAAUUCAGUGAAUCAUCGAAUCUUUGAACGCACACUGCGCCCCUUGGUAUUCCAUGGGGCAUGCCUGUUCGAGCGUCAUUUGUACCUUCAAGCUCUGCUUGGUGUUGGGUGUUUGUCUCGCCUCUGCGUGUAGACUCGCCUCAAAACAAUUGGCAGCCGGCGUAUUGAUUUCGGAGCGCAGUACAUCUCGCGCUUUGCACUCAUAACGACGACGUCCAAAAGUACAUUUUUACACUCUUGACCUCGGAUCAGGUAGGGAUACCCGCUGAACUUAAGCAUAUCAAUAAGCGGAGGA
rnacentral:misc_RNA from 1 species